AUUGAACGCUGGCGGCAGGCUUAACACAUGCAAGUCGAGCGGGGUGAUGGUGCUUGCACUAUCACUUAGCGGCGGACGGGUGAGUAAUGCUUAGGAAUCUGCCUAUUAGUGGGGGACAACAUCUCGAAAGGGAUGCUAAUACCGCAUACGUCCUACGGGAGAAAGCAGGGGAUCACUUGUGACCUUGCGCUAAUAGAUGAGCCUAAGUCGGAUUAGCUAGUUGGUGGGGUAAGGCCUACCAAGGCGACGAUCUGUAGCGGGUCUGAGAGGAUGAUCCGCCACACUGGGACUGAGACACGGCCCAGACGCCUACGGGAGGCAGCAGUGGGGAAUAUUGGACAAUGGGGGGAACCCUGAUCCAGCCAUGCCGCGUGUGUGAAGAAGGCCUUAUGGUUGUAAAGCACUUUAAGCGAGGAGGAGGCUCUUUUGGUUAAUACCCAAGAUGAGUGGACGUUACUCGCAGAAUAAGCACCGGCUAACUCUGUGCCAGCCGCCGCAGUAA
rnacentral:rRNA from 1 species